GACAGAAUAGCCAGAAGAUAGGGCCCUGCCCUUGGGGACUUGGACUGCUGCAUGGAAAGAGAAUACCCGGCAACCAAAGAGGGGAAGCUCCUUCUUAUUUUUCCCAGUAUAUCCCUUGGAUCCCAUGGUUUCUCCAACCUCAUUUGGUCCUUGCUCCCCUGAAAAGCUUCCCUCCCUACCAACACUCAUCUGGGCUGAAGCUCGAAAUUAGUAUCCCGUACCUUGAUAAAGCCGGUUCCUAUUGGCGAAACGUUGGGGGAUGCUAGGGACUUAGUAUUUUA